CUCUUGCUGCUGUUUCCUGAUGUGUGGUGGCAGCACAAAGCAAGAAAAAAGGUUAGAGAAGAGGAGAAGAAGAAGAUCAAAAAAAAAAGAUCAAAUAUUGAUCGCGAUCCAGACUUCAUUCAGAUUCAGCAUGCUGAAUUUUCUUAGAAAAGAAAAUUCAAAUUCUAGAGGACUGUUCCAAGCUGAUUUUGAGUGGAUACCCAUAG
rnacentral:lncRNA from 1 species